rnacentral:rRNA from 1 species
CACGAGUUUGAUCCUGGCUCAGGAUGAACGCUAGCGGCAGGCUUAACACAUGCAAGUCGAGGGGUAGAAGGAGCUUGCUCCUUUGAGACCGGCGCACGGGUGCGUAACGCGUAUACAAUCUACCUUUACAGAGGGAUAGCCCAGAGAAAUUUGGAUUAAUACCUCAUAGUAUUUUCGGAUCGCAUGAUUUGAUUAUUAAAGUUCCAACGGUAAAAGAUGAGUAUGCGUCCCAUUAGCUAGAUGGUAAGGUAACGGCUUACCAUGGCAAUGAUGGGUAGGGGGUCCUGAGAGGGAGAUCCCCCACACUGGUACUGAGACACGGCCCAGACUCCUACGGGAGGCAGCAGUGGGGAAUUUUGGACAAUGGGCGCAAGCCUGAUCCAGCAAUGCCGCGUGCAGGAUGAAGGCCUUCGGGUUGUAAACUGCUUUUGUACGGAACGAAACGGUGAGCUCUAAUACAGUUUGCUAAUGACGGUACCGUAAGAAUAAGCACCGGCUAACUACGUG